rnacentral:lncRNA from 1 species
AGAAACACGCGGAAUACUGGAAUGGAGGUCAUAGCAUCCACAAGAUUCAUAAUGAACUUCGCCACGGAGUACGGCCACACCAUGUUACAAUUCGACGGACACAGUCCCAUUGUUGCAACGUCCCCAGGAAUAGCUGUACAGUUAGGUAGAAGUCAUGAUAUUUGAUCACCUAUCAUUAGUCCAUGCAUCCUGUACCGUUGCCACUCGAUGUUGUAGUAAGCACAGUAUUGACCGGAAGUUAUCGCUGUAUUCCAGAUAAGACAUGUGCUGUCAAUCAGCUUUCCACCAAUCACAGGUCCAGAUUAUGAAUCUGUGGAGAUUUACCUGAGGAACACGAGGAAUGCUGGAACAGAGACAACAGCAUUCACAAGAUUAAUAAUAAACUUGGCCACGGAGUACGGCCACAUCAUGUUACAAUUCGACGGGCACAGUCCCGUCGUUGCAACGCCUCCAGGAAUAGCUGUACAGUUAGUCAGUACCUAGAAUAAAGAAGAAUCUUUUGACCUGUUGGAAUAAGAUCUUGCAGCCUGCAUGACAUGGAGAAAAGUAGCUCUUUCAAUCAUUUCCGCAAAUUGGAAGAAACUCGCUUGUACUGCAGUCACAAGCUGGACCCACAGAACUGCUGCUGGAACACAAAGUAUGUAUAUAAAACAUUUUUGCAAAGACUUUCGCUUUAUUAUGACAAGAUUUUCAAAGUUCAAUAUUAGCACAUACUCAGCUUUCUUCCACAUUUUGCCCAUUGUCAAAGUUUCAGUCAC